rnacentral:rRNA from 1 species
GAUGAACGCUGGCGGCGUGCCUAAUACAUGCAAGUCGAGCGAACAGACGAGGAGCUUGCUCCUCUGACGUUAGCGGCGGACGGGUGAGUAACACGUGGAUAACCUACCUAUAAGACUGGGAUAACUUCGGGAAACCGGAGCUAAUACCGGAUAAUAUAUUGAACCGCAUGGUUCAAUAGUGAAAGACGGUUUUGCUGUCACUUAUAGAUGGAUCCGCGCCGCAUUAGCUAGUUGGUAAGGUAACGGCUUACCAAGGCAACGAUGCGUAGCCGACCUGAGAGGGUGAUCGGACACACUGGAACUGAGACACGGACCAGACUCCUACGGGAGGCAGCAGUAGGGAAUCUUCCGCAAUGGGCGAAAGCCUGACGGAGCAACGCCGCGUGAGUGAUGAAGGUCUUCGGAUCGUAAAACUCUGUUAUUAGGGAAGAACAAAUGUGUAAGUAACUAUGCACGUCUUGACGGUACCUAAUCAGAAAGCCACGGCUAACUACGUG